rnacentral:rRNA from 1 species
CUUGACUGUAUCCUGGAAUUGGGUUCGGGCUUUUCUUGCGCAGCCUAGGUGGGAGGCUAUGAAGAUUUCCUUCCGGGGAAGUUGGAGCCAUCAGUGAGAGACCACUCUGGAGAGGCUAGAAUCCUAAUGGUGAUCCUUGAAUCAGGACACUUGACAGUUUCAGGUGGGCAGUUUUUCUGGGGCGGAAGCCUCAUAAAGGGUAACUGAGGCGCGCAAAGGUCCCCUCAGUCUGGACGGAAAUCAGACAACGAGUGUAAAGGCAAAAGGGGGCUUGACUGCAAGACCUACAAGUCGAGCAGGAGCGAAAGCUGGCCUUGGGGAUCCGACGGUACCGUGUGGAAGGGCCGUCGCUCAACGAAUAAAAGUUG